AAAUAGGUCUGCGUUGCCAAGCUCUCUCCGCAGACUUCGGUUUCUGCUCCCGAGGUUUCCUCCCGCUCCUCAGACACAGCUUCUGGAAAGUGAAGGAUGGUGAGGCAACCUUCUGGAGGGGAGAGGCCCCUGUGGCAAGGGAGAAGGCCUGCCACCAACCCAGUGGGUGAUCUUGGAAGUUGAGUCCUACCCAGCCAAGCCUUCAGGCUCGGGUUAUGAAACGCAAAACUGAAAUCGUUUUGAGAUUUUCCGGAGUUCCAGGCUAGGGACAUUUGAUCACACUUAAAAACAACAUCUACCCUGCUGCCACCUUUGCCCAAGUUAUUGGGGUCCCCCCCGCCCCCCGCGGAAAUGGAGAGACUGGACUUAUCCGUC